rnacentral:rRNA from 1 species
CUCCGACAAUCCAAGGUUUCCGCACCCACGUUCGUCGUGUGCGGGUUAGGCGAUCCUAAGGUCAGUCCCGUUUAAGCGAGAGUAGCCGAUGGAUUACUGGUUAAUAUUCCAGUCCUUGGUUAGGAUCAUUUGACUUGGGGAGGAACGACGAUGGAUAAGACUAGCGGGGACAUGAUUUCCCGUUUAAGCAGUAAAGCAGGUUUCUAUAGGCAAAUCCGAGAGACCGUUUAUCUGAGCUGUGAUGAGUCAACAAAGCUUCGGCGGCGUUGAUUAGUCCCAUUUCAUUGUCCUGGAAAAGCUUCGCAAGAAGAUCUUAAUCAAAUCGUACCGAUAACCGACACAGGUGGAUGGCUCGAGUAGAGUAAGGAGAGCGAGAGAAUGUAGCUUAAGGAAUUCGGCAAAACAGCUGGGCGUAAUUUCGAAAGAUGCCCCGCCGCUUGGUUUCGACUGAGCGGCCGCAGUGAAUGUCAUGAGAUCGACUGUUUACCAAAAACACAGGUCUGUGCCAACUCGUAAGAGGAAGUAUACAGGCUGAAGCCUGCCCAGUGCUGGAAGGUUAAGUGCGUGGGUCUAUUCGGUUUACCGAGUAGGCUUGCAAUCGAAGCCCCAGUGAACGGCAGCAGUAACUAUAACUGUUCUAAGGUAGCGAAGUACCUUGUCGCUUAAUUGGCGACGUGCACGAAAGGUGUAACGAGUCUCAUACUGUCUUGAGCUGCAACUCGGUGAAAUUGAAAUGGCUGUGAACAUGCGGCCUACUGGCGGCAGGACAAAAAGACCCCAUGAAGCUUUACUACAACUUGACACUGUUUUUGUAUGGAAGGUUGUUUAGGAUAGGCGGGAGAGGCUAUUUAGUUAGUCUCAUCGGUGAAAUACCGCUCGCUUUCUAUACGAAAACUCACUGAAGUUCACUGCAAACGUGAACCAGGACCCUGUUUGGUGGGUAGUUUAACUGGGGAGGUUGCUUGCUAAAGAGUAACGCAAGCGCGCAAUGGUACUCUUAGUCCGGAUGGAAAUCGGACUGGACGUGCAAAAGCAUAAGAGUGCUUAACUGUGAGACAUACAAGUCGAUCAGAUGCGAAAGCAGGUUUUAGUGAUCCUCGUGUGUUUUGUGGAAGACACCGGGCUUAUCGGAUAAAAGCUACUCUGGGGAUAACAGAGUCAUAGUGCCUAAGCGUUCCUAGCGUCGGCACUGUUUGCUACCUCGAUGUCGGCUCACCGCAUCCUGGGGCUGUAGCAGGUCCCAAGGGUUAGUCUGUUCGCCUAUUAAAGCGGUACGCGAGCUGGGUUCAGACCGUCGUGAGACAGGUCGGCUUCUAUCCUCCAUCAGCGUUAGAAAUUUGAGGAGUUUUGUCCCUAGUACGAGAGGACCGGGAUGAGGAAACCCCUAGUGUUCCUGUUGUUUCUGUCAAGAGCAUUGCAGGGUAGCUACGUUUCUUGUGGAUAACCGCUGAAAGCAUCUAAGCGGGAAGCCCUUUCCAAGAUUAAAUUUCUCCAUUAGACCCCUGGGAGACUACCAGGUUAUAGGUGAGAGGUGUAAGUCUGGUGACAGAUUUAGCUUACUCAUACUAAGUUGUCGAUUGAACAUUUUAA